rnacentral:rRNA from 1 species
UACAGAGGGUGCAAGCGUUAAUCGGAAUUACUGGGCGUAAAGCGUGCGCAGGCGGCUUUGCAAGACAGAUGUGAAAUCCCCGGGCUCAACCGGGGAACUGCAUUUGUGACUGCAAGGCUAGAGUACGGCAGAGGGGGAUGGAAUUGCGCGUGUAGCAGUGAAAUGCGUAGAUAUGCGGAGGAACACCAAUGGCGAAGGCAAUCCCCUGGGCCUGUACUGACGCUCAUGCACGAAAGCGUGGGGAGCAAACAGG